AUUGAACGCUGGCGGCACGCCUAACACAUGCAAGUCGAGCGGCAGCGAGACUAGUAGCAAUACUAGUUGUCGGCGAGCGGCGGACGGGUGAGUAACACGUAGGAAUCUGCCCUUAAGCGGGGGAUAACCAAGGGAAACUUUGGCUAAUACCGCAUAAUCUCGAGAGAGCAAAGCUGCCCGCAAGGGUGGCACUUGAGGAGGAGCCUGCGUCGGAUUAGCUAGUUGGUGGGGUAAUGGCCUACCAAGGCGAUGAUCGGUAACUGGUCUGAGAGGACGACCAGUCACACUGGGACUGAGACACGGCCCAGACUCCUACGGGAGGCAGCAGUGGGGAAUAUUGGACAAUGGGGGCAACCCUGAUCCAGCGAUGCCGCGUGAGUGAAGAAGGCCUUCGGGUCGUAAAGCUCUUUAGGUUGGGAAGAAGGGUAUUGGCUGAAUAAUCCAGUACUUUGACGGUACCGACAGAAUAAGCACCGGCUAACUACGUGCCAGCCGCCGCUGUAAGAC
rnacentral:rRNA from 1 species